CACAUUCAAAAUCAUGAGUAGAUAUUGAUAUGCCAAACCUACUUUGUGCAUCAGCCACACAUUCAAAGUCAUUAGAUAUUGAUAAGCCAAACCUAGCUACUUUGUGUAUCACUUAACCAAACGAAAAUGACUUCACUACUGAUUGAGCAAUGCCAAGUUGCGCCACCUCCCCACGGUGGCGCAACUGAGCUAACGCUCCCUCUAACUUAUUUUGAUCAUAUAUGGUUCGGUUGUGGCUAUAUACGCCGGAUUUUAUUCUACAAGCUACCAAUUUCCAAACUCGAUUUUGUUCAAACCAUUAUUCCUACUCUUAAACAUUCACUCUCCCUCACUCUCAAACACUACGCACCCUUAGCUGGCAACAUUGCUUGUCCACUAAAUUCGAGUGGUUAUCCUGAGUUGCGUUAUGUGACUGGAGAUUCUGUAUCUGUUACUUUUAUUGAGACUGAUAUGGAUUUCAAUCAUCUCAUUGGUAACCAUCCUCGAAAUGCUAAGGAUUUUUAUCCCUUCAUUCCUCAAUUGGCACAACCUAAGGAUGCACCGGGGGUCAAACUAGUCCCGGUCUAGCCAUUCAAGUGACACUUUUUCCGAAUCUUGGCAUAUCCGUUGGUUUUAGUAACCAUCAUGUCGCUUGUGAUGGAAAUACCAUAGUGAAAUUCAUAAGAACAUAGGGUUUACUCAACAAAUUCGGCGGUGAUGAACAAUGCUUAGAGAAUGAGUUCAUUCCAUUUUAUGAUAGGUCCGUGAUAAAAGACCCUUACGAACAAGGGACGAUUAUAUGGGAUGAAAUGAAGCAAAAUAUGCCGGAGAUAGGUGACAUAAUUGUGACUCCUCCUCUUGAUAGAGUUCGAGGUACAUUUAUUAUAGAACGAGAUAACAUUGUUAAGCUCAAGAAUUUAAUAUUGUCAAGACGACCUAACCUAAGUUAUGUGACAUCUUUUACAAUAACUUGUGCUUAUAUAUGGACUUGCUUGAUAAAGUCAAAGUUCGCGAUUGAGGAAGAGACGAUAGAUGAGGAUGUUAUGGAGAUUUUUGGAUGUGUAGCGGAUUAUAGAUCGCGUCUCAAUCCACCACUUCCUCAAUCUUAUUUCGGUAAUUGCCUAGUCACGAUUGCUUCAGAAGCAAGUCGUGUCGACUUAGUUGGAAAGGAAGGGUUUAUAAUAGCUGUGGAAAUCAUUGGAGAGGCCAUCAAGAAUCAAAUGAAGGAUGAGGAAUUGAUCUUGAAUUGUAGUUGGUAUAGAGAAUUUUGUGUUGUUGACAUGAAACGAACACUUACAAUUGCUGGAUCACCAAAGUUUAAUUUGUAUGAUGUUGAUUUUGGUUGGGGUAGGCCAGAAAAAAUAGAGAUCAUUUCUAUUGAUAAUAGUAGUGGUAUAUCUAUGUCCAUUAGCAAGUACAAAGAUUCAGAUGGAGAUUUAGAGGUUGGCUUGUCUUUGCCUAAAAUUAGAAUGAGUGCUUUUGCUGCUACAUUCGACCAUGGGCUAAGCUUUUUGUAAGAAUGUACCAAGGUUUAUCGGAAAAUUUAUUACUAUAGAAUCGUGGAUUGUAAUUCAAGAAUUGGUUUCUUUUGAGUGGGGACGUUUUUUUAUUGAACCCGUAUAUCUUUGAUAGUUGAGGUGAUUAUAUGUCAUGCCGAUCUUCGAUUAAUUGA